ACUUGGUGAUCAGGAAUCUACAGUAAACUGUUUAUUUAUUUUAGUAUAACUGAUAGUUAAUUCACCAGUGCUUCCGGAUACAUUAAAACGAGUGUCGGGAAAGGUCAGGAUCUUUACUUUCAACAAAUAUGUGUGCUCAGAGAAGGCUUAUGAGCCUGCAAAUUUUGUAUGGAAUGAUGAGAUACUGGUUUUUGGGCCAAUAGUAAUGGGUAAGAGAGAGAUACAGAGAAGUUUUUUAUGGGGGUAUUAGCUAUGAAAUUCUGGGGUCACCACUAGAUGAAUCCCAGUAGGAGGAUUUCCUAAUUAUGUUCUCACUGAUCAGCAGUCAAAGGCAAAGUUCCAAAAGCUGUUGGAUAGCGUUGUAAUCUUGAUCAUAAAUGCUUUCACCUGGACAUCUGAGUUUACUCUAUAAUUUUCUUCGCGGGCUGUGCUAGGUAAACUCUCAAGUCUUUGGGC
rnacentral:ncRNA from 1 species